rnacentral:rRNA from 1 species
CUCAGAUUGAACGCUGGCGGCAUGCCUUACACAUGCAAGGUCGAACGGCAGCAUGGGUGCUUGCACCUGAUGGCGAGUGGCGAACGGGUGAGUAAUACAUCGGAACGUACCCGGAAGUGGGGGAUAACGUAGCGAAAGUUACGCUAAUACCGCAUAUUCUGUGAGCAGGAAUGAGGGGGAUCGCAAGACCUCUCGCUUUCGGAGCGGCCGAUGUCGGAUUAGCUAGUUGGCGGGUAAAGGCCCACCAAGGCAACGAUCCGUAGCGGGUCUGAGAGGAUGAUCCGCCACACUGGGACUGAGACACGGCCCAGACUCCUACGGGAGGCAGCAGUGGGGAAUUUUGGACAAUGGGCGCAAGCCUGAUCCAGCCAUGCCGCGUGAGUGAAGAAGGCCUUCGGGUUGUAAAGCUCUUUCAGCCGGGAAGAAAUCGCAUCUCCUAAUACGGGGUGUGGAUGACGGUACCGGAAUAAGAAGCACCGGCUAACUACGUG